UUUUUUUUUUUUUUUUUUUUUUUUUUUUUUUUUGUCUUUUUCGUUUUUAUCGGUACCAGGGAUCGAACUCACGACUGCCUGCUUGCAAGGCAGGCGCUUAUGCCGCUGAGCUAAAUCCCCAGCCCCGAGACAAGGUUUUAACUAGUCCAAACUGGCCUUGAGUUUGUGAUCCUCCUGCCUCAGCCUCCUAAGUGCUGGGAUUACAAGUAUGUGCUACCAUGACCAGCCUAGGUGGUACCAUUUUGCUUAGUCCAAAAUAUUUGUAUUCUAAAGGAGGGUCUACGAUAAGAGGGUGAUCACACAGAACCUGGUGGUACACACCUGUGACCCUGGCACUUGGGAGGCCAAGGCAGGAGAUUGCCCUGAGUUUAAGGCCAGCCUGGGUUACAUAGGAAAACUCCCUCAAAAAAUCAUAAAGGGGAUUGGUAAAAAUAUAUGGUGAGCUGGGCAUGGUGGCACAUGCCCAUAAUCCCAGCAUUCAGAAGACUGAGGCAGGAGGAUCUUCUGAGUUCGAGACCAGCCUGAACUGCAUACUGAGAGUCUGUCUCAAAAAGAUUUAAAAGUGGGGGGGGGGGGCGUUUGCAUUUUUUUUUUUUUUUUUUUUUUUUUGGUCUUUUUCCUUUUUAUUGGUACCAGGGAUCGAACUCAUGACUGCCUGCUUGCAAGGCAGGCACUUAUGCCGCUGAGCUAAAUCCCCAGCCCCCAGUGUUUGCAUUUUUAAACAUUUAUUACAAGAAAGGACACAUUGUCAUUAAUCCUCAAAAUAUCAAAAUAUUCCCCCCUCGCUUGAGAUAUAUCCGUCCCACCGUUUUUACCACUUUGUGAAGCAGCUCUGGGAGUCCUCUUUCUUGAGGGUCUUUACUGGGUCUUUUGUGAGAGCAAAAUGCAGUCGCUGCCAGGUGUCACCCAGUGGAGAGGCGGGCUCAGGAGACCAUUAGCAGUCCUCUGCCAAUGGAUUCACCAGAUACCCUGUGACCUCUUGACUACUCUGAAGUCCAGAGGACCACGAAAGGAGGACAUUUUCAGUGGAUUCAGGACAUCCAGGCAGCAGCCACGGUGCCACAGAACGGCUUCCAGGCCGGGGUUUAGCCCAGCAGCAUAAACGCCUGCUUGGCAAGCACAAGGGUCGUGAGUUCUGAUCCCUGGUACAAAAAAGAAAAAAGAGUUUCCAGAGCGUGUUCAAAGCCAGGGGGAGGGUCUGGAGAGGGAUCCAAUCACAUUUCAUAGUGUUUUUAUUGUAUUCUUAGAUGGUAGCAACCAAAAAAAUGAGAAAUAAAAGAAUAAGUAAAUAACACCUGUCUGGUUGGUUCCAUGACUGUCUACACACACCUUACUGUUAUGUGUACCUCAGUGGCAGUGUACAUGUAUUACUUGUAUCUGCUGGACAAUGAAGCCAGGACCUUUACACUGAGCUACAUCCCCAGCCCUUUUUCCUGUUGUUUUUUGAGACAGGAUGAAGUGCAGGCUGACCUUGAAGUCGAUAUUUAGCCCCAGGCUGGCCCCUAACUCCUACUGACCCUCCUGUCUCAGCCUCCAGAUCCCUGGGACGACUUUGCCAGCGUGGCUGGCUCUGAUAGAUGUCUCACUAAAUUACUAAGCACAGCCACAAUGACUGGGAAGCCUUGGAACACCCACUCCGUGUUCCCACUCUCCUGUCCAGGUCAGGAUUUCCCACUUGGAAGGGAGUUUCACUUGCUCCUGGCCAGCAACCAAGACAAAAGUCAGGCCCAAGAGGGAAGGGCCUUCCUGUGCGCCAAGAGAGGGAAGAGGCGGACAAGGGAGGCUUCUUCCCAGGGUCUUUUAGGAAGUGUUAAAGGGCAGCAAUGACCUGGACCCUGGACACUUGUCAGGCCCUGCCCUUGGGAAGGCACCUCCCACAAGCAAGGUACCACCAAAUCUUGUUCUGGGCUAUAGUGCAGUGGUGCCUGUCUAGCAGGCUAGAGGCCCUGGGUUCCAUCCCGGGCACCACAGGAUGAAAAAUUUUAAAAAGAAAAUCAGAGCAGGAUGUUAUGGCCCACACCUAUAAUCCUAGCACUCGAGUAGCUGAGGCAGGAGGAUCCCUAAUGAGUUCAGACCAGCCUGGGUUACAGAGUGAGCGUGAGUUACAGAAAGACCUUGUCUCAAAAACAUAAAACAAAGUGAGACUGAUGGUCCAGGCAGGCAGCCCCAGCAGGAAGCAAAGCAAAGUUUUGGUCAGGGUGCUGGGUUGUCAGGGAAGCAGUUCCAGCUGGUGCACUCCUGCCCUCUGCCUGCUGCCUGUGGAAACCAGCCAGCCGUCACCUGCUGCUCCCUUGAGCCUACCUCGACGGCCUCCGCCCUUCUCAGAGUCCAGGUCUUUCCAUGGCAGGUGGCGCCCUGGUCCCCAGGUCCUUUAUACAACCCCUGGCUUGUGACUUCUAAGAGUAAACAAGCACCACUGCAAAGCCCUCGGGCCAGGGCAGGGGCAGUUCCCUCCAUCAUUUCUUGGUUCGAUUUUUUGAGUUAGGCUCUCGGGCUGUCCUGGAACUCAGGGUGAUCCUCCUGCCUCAGCCUCCCAGAGCGCUGGGAUGUCAGGUGUGCGCCACCACACCUAGCUUUCUACUUAUGAUUUCUGCAGCAUCUCCUGCACGCUGAGUCCCCGAGGAGACCAGAAGAGCUCGGCCUGGGCUUCCUAGGGGAGGUCCAAACUAGCGGCUCCCAGUUAUUUUUAAUUUUGAGACAGGGGCUUGCCGUAUUGUUCAGUGCCGCACACUAGGGUUGGAUUUGUGAUGAAUCUUCCUGCCUCAGCCUGCCAGAGUGCUGGGAUUAUCUGCAUGCAUCACCAGCUCUGCCUCUGACCUCUUUCCAUGUCAGCAUCUACUACAGUGCGAAAACACCAUACCAGCGAAGUGUGAAAUCUGUGUACAGCGGACUGAUUUUCCUUUAAGUCAAGCCCGAGCUGGACUCCCAGAUAACACGUGGUUUGCAGCGCAUGUGUGUGUGUGUGUGUGUGUGUGUGUGUGUGUGUGUGUGUGUCUGCACGUGCGCUGCACUGCUGGGUGUGGCAACUGACUCUAAUCCGACCGAGUUAAAGUACAGCACGUGCCCGAGAGGUCCAAGCCGUGCCAGGGUCACACGCGGUUUGAACGUGUGCACUUGGCUUGCAGUCCCUGCUCUGCUACCUGCUCUCCGUGUGACCCAGGGAAGUGGCCGAACCUCUGCAGGCCUGUUUUUCCAUCUGUCCCGACAGCCUAAUAAUAGUCCUUACAUCACUGGGCAGCCAGAGGGAGUGAAUAAGACAAGCCGAUAAAACGCUUGACAUUAAACACUCAAUAAAUAUCAACUGCAAAGUAAAUCCCGAGCUUUCAAUAAAUACUGGCCAUUGCCAUUCAGGUCCACAGGCCUGGACCUGACUGGAUAUUCACAAAGCCCUGAAAA